rnacentral:tRNA from 1 species
UUCAAAACCCAGAGAAGAGUA